UAAAACUUUCAACAACGGAUCUCUUGGUUCCGGCAUCGAUGAAGAACGCAGCGAAAUGCGAUAAGUAAUGUGAAUUGCAGAAUUCCGUGAAUCAUCGAAUCUUUGAACGCACAUUGCGCCCCCUGGUAUUCCGGGGGGCAUGCCUGUUCGAGCGUCA
rnacentral:rRNA from 2 species